UGCGGAUCUCUGUCAUCUUUAAAACUGGAAUUUCCCUGUCACCAGCCACAGGCACAGAAAGUUCUCAGCACCUUGGGGCUAGGAUGCCACACACUGGAAACUAUGCAUAGUUUUAGGAACACCAGGUUUACUAAAAAUUCAGCGAUGAAAUACUUUUGUAUCUAAACAUCUGACAUCCUGCCGCUGUUCGUUGUGACUGGUGACUUGACUGGGUUAAAGGAGGCUGAGCAGACUGGGUGAAGCUGCAGUGGCUGCUGCAGAAGUCCAGGUACUGGUGCCAUAAGGCAGCCCCGCGUCACCAACACGUACCUUGCCAGGUGCGUUCCCACGCGGAGGCGGAACCGGCUCCUGGGCCCAGUAAGGCCCCUCCCUGAAUCGCCUCAGCCGUUCCACAGAGGACGCAGCUUCCACCGCGCUGAACAGGGCUCCUUCACUGAUCUCUCUUCCAUUCAGUCGUUGAACGUGAAGAACCAUUUCUCUGGCCCACGACAUUUUCUUAAGGGCUGAUGUGUUCACCAUUCACCAUUCCAAGAGAAUUGAGAGACAUUGUAAACUGUAGGUGGUUCAGGACAGCCACAUUCUUUACAUUGGAAACAAUCAUAAAACUUUGAAGAAACGUUUUAAAAUAUUCCACAAGGUGAAUUCUACCUUCAAGGCUUCUAAAGACACCAGAGUUUAUCAGUGUCCAUGAGCAGCAGGAGGCUGGACAACCAAAGGAAGA